GCACUAGUGGCUUAAUAUAAAGCACCGGUCUUGUAAACCGGAAGAUGGAGGUUUAACUCCUCCCUGUUGC
rnacentral:tRNA from 1 species